GAUGAACGCUGGCGGCAUGCCUAAUACAUGCAAGUCGAACGAAGGGGCCUUUAGACUAAGUGCUUGCACUUAAGACAAAGACUAUCCCCUUAGUGGCGAACGGGUGAGUAACACGUAGGUAACCUACCAUAAAGACAGGGACAACAGUUGGAAACGACUGCUAAAACCUGAUAAAAGUACACUUCGCAUGAAGAGAACUUGAAAGUAGCUUAUGGCUAUACUUAAUGAUGGACCUGCGGCGUAUUAGCUAGUUGGUAAGGUAAUGGCUUACCAAGGCGACGAUACGUAGCCGACCUGAGAGGGUGACCGGCCACACUGGGACUGAGACACGGCCCAGACUCCUACGGGAGGCAGCAGUAGGGAAUUUUCCACAAUGGGGGCAACCCUGAUGGAGCAAUGCCGCGUGAGAGAAGAAGGCCUUAGGGUUGUAAAUCUCUGUUAUAAGAGAGGAAAGACAUGUAGAGGAAAUGCUAUAUGUUUGACAAUAUCUUAUCAGAAAGCCACGGCUAACUACGUGCCAGCAGCCGCGGUAACAC
rnacentral:rRNA from 1 species